CCUAACUAAUUACAACACCAGCAACACGAGAUACAUACUAAACUAUAAGACUAAGCCUCAUCUUGUAUGAAUUAGACAACAAAAAGAGUAAAUUAAAAGCACUUCCUACACUGGAUCUAAUGCAGGAAAAUAUGUAAUUCUCUUUUUGUGUGUGCACAAAUACAAAUACAUAUUUCGACACACAAAAAUGACUUCAGUUCUUAUUUCUUCAAGCAUUUUGAUGAUUGGUUUGCCUCUAGCUUCUAGAAUCCAAUAUUCACCGAUUCUGUGAAAUUGUUCACCACUUCAUAGUUCUU
rnacentral:lncRNA from 1 species